AUUGAACGCUGGCGGCAGGCCUAACACAUGCAAGUCGAGCGGAGCGGCGGACGGGUGAGUAAUGCCUAGGAAUCUGCCUGGUAGUGGGGGAUAACGUCCGCAAACGGGCGCUGAUACCGCAUACUAUCGGAUGAGCCUAGGUCGGAUUAGCUAGUUGGUGGGGUAAAGGCCUACCAAGACGACGAGCCGUAACUGGUCUGAGAGGAAGAUCAGUCACACGGGAACUGAGACACGGGCCAGACUCGUACGGGAGGCAGCAGUGGGGAAGAUUGGGCAAUGGGCGAAAGCCUGAUCCAGCCAUGCCGCGUGUGUGAAGAAGGUCUUCGGAUUGUAAAGCUCUUUAAGUUGGGAGGCGUUACCAACAGAAUAAGCACCGGCUAACUUCGUGCCAGCAGCCGCGGUAAUUC
rnacentral:rRNA from 1 species